UACGUAGGGUGCAAGCGUUGUCCGGAAUUAUUGGGCGUAAAGAGCUCGUAGGCGGUCUGUUGCGUCGGCUGUGAAAACCCGAGGCUCAACCUCGGGCCUGCAGCCGAUACGGGCAGACUAGAGUUCGGCAGGGGAGACUGGAAUUCCUGGUGUAGCGGUGAAAUGCGCAGAUAUCAGGAGGAACACCGAUGGCGAAGGCGGGUCUCUGGGCCGAUACUGACGCUGAGGAGCGAAAGCCGUGGGGAGCGAACAGG
rnacentral:rRNA from 1 species